rnacentral:lncRNA from 1 species
CAAACAUGCAUUGGCGGUUGAUUUUACUGCUCAAUUCUACAACAAUAAAACCUGAAUUUCCAUGAAAACCAACUGCAUGUAAUAUUUACGGAUUAUCUAAUAAAUGCUUUGCACAAUGAAAUGAAGUUAUAAAUAAAGAGGGAUUUCAUCGCUUUUUUGUCUAUAAUGGCAGGAAGGGGCAGAGGGCAGCUCACUUUCUCUGUGGAGAUUGUUGGAAUCGGUAAAGGAGAAAAUCUCCCUCCAUCCUCCGUCCAGCCGACCCCUCUAUUCCCUCCUUUGGCUCAGAAGCCGGUGCCCCUGCAGACGGGUGAGGAGGCCGAGUACAUGCUGGCACUCAAACAGGAGUUCAGAGGAGCCAUGAAGACGCUUCCCUUUUACAUCCGUCCAGCUGCACCCAAGAAAGGUCAGUUCGGCGUCAAAGAUGAGCUCUGACAUCUUUAAAGGGGGCAUAUGACUUUGCUAAAAAGAACAUUAUGUUGUGUAUUUGGUGUAAUGCAAUGUGUUUAUGCGGUUUAAGGUUAAAAAAACACAUUAUUUUUCACAUAAUGUACAUUAUUGUUUCUCCUCUAUGCCCCGCCUUUCUGAAACGCGUCGAUUUUUACAAAGCUCAUCAUUCUGAAAAGCGAGGUGUGCUCUGAUUGGCCAGCUAUCCAGUGCAUUGUGAUUGGCCGAAUACCUCAAGCGUGUGACAGAAAUGUUACGCCCCUUACCAUAUUGUGAUGCCGUGUCAUGAGUUGAUGUUAUUAUGGGAGGAUGUUGCUGAUGUCAUUUCCACAGUCACAAACACGGUUUUGCUUAUAUGGUUGCAGAAAGCCCAGCUGUUCCCAAACAACCCAAACAGCCACGAGUGGACAAAGAGGAGAUCAUACGCAAACUGGAGACUCUGGAGCAGAAAGAGGAAGACGGGAGUUCUGAUGAAGAGGAGGGAGAGAAAAAGAAGCCAGAAGAGGAAGAGGCUGAGGGAGAGGAAGGGUAUGAUGAGGAGGAAUUUGAGGAUGAAACAGAUUACAUCAUGUCCUACUUUGACAAUGGGGACGAGUUUGGAGGAGACAGUGAUGAUAACAUAGAUGAAGCCAUUUACUGAAGCAGGUGACGGCGGCUCCAUAGCGCCCUCCUCCGGCCAGUGAGUGUCGCUGGAACUGCUCUGUCCCUCAGGACCGUUCUAGCUUGGAUCAUUAUGUUUGGCAGCUGAUGUUGAAAUCUGUAUGCAGUGGAUUUCCUCUCAUCCGAUCGGUUGGCAGGGUGGCUGAUUGCUGACAAAGAGCGUUUGAAUCCGAGGGUUACGGCUGGAGGACACAGAGAAGACACUGAGGCACAAACUUCUCUCUUAAUGCAGCUAUAUGUUCUUAGAGCUUUGUAAAUAAUUA